AUUGAACGCUGGCGGCAUGCCUUACACAUGCAAGUCGAACGGCAGCACGGGUGCUUGCCCCUGGUGGCGAGUGGCGAACGGGUGAGUAGUACAUCGGAACAUGUCCUGUAGUGGGGGAUAGCCCGGCGAAAGCCGGAUUAAUACCGCAUACGAUCUACGGAUGAAAGCGGGGGACCUUCGGGCCUCGCGCUAUAGGGUUGGCCGAUGGCUGAUUAGCUAGUUGGUGGGGUAAAGGCCUACCAAGGCGACGAUCAGUAGCUGGUCUGAGAGGACGACCAGCCACACUGGGACUGAGACACGGCCCAGACUCCUACGGGAGGCAGCAGUGGGGAAUUUUGGACAAUGGGCGAAAGCCUGAUCCAGCAAUGCCGCGUGUGUGAAGAAGGCCUUCGGGUUGUAAAGCACUUUUGUCCGGAAAGAAAUCCUUGGCCCUAAUACGGUCGGGGGAUGACGGUACCGGAAGAAUAAGCACCGGCUAACUACGUG
rnacentral:rRNA from 1 species